rnacentral:rRNA from 1 species
UACAAAGGAAUUGACGGGGCCCGCACAAGCGGUGGAGCAUGUGGUUAAUUCGACGCAACGCGAAGAACCUUACCAGGGCUUGACAUCCCCUGACCGCGUAUGAAAGUACGUUUUCACCCUCGGGUGACAGGGAGACAGGUGGUGCAUGGUUGUCGUCAGCUCGUGUCGUGAGAUGUUGGGUUAAGUCCCGCAACGAGCGCAACCCCUACGUUUAGUUGCUAACGCGUGAAGGCGAGCACUCUAGACGAACUGCCGUUGACAAAACGGAGGAAGGUGGGGAUGACGUCAAAUCAUCAUGCCCCUUAUGUUCUGGGCUACACACGUGCUACAAUGGCCGGUACAGACGGACGCAAAGCCGCGAGGUGGAGCAAAUCCUAAAAAGCCGGUCUCAGUUCGGAUUGCAGGCUGCAAUUCGCCUGCAUGAAGUCGGAAUCGCUAGUAAUCGCAGGUCAGCAUACUGCGGUGAAUACGUUCCCGGGCCUU